GAACGUCGUGAGACAGUUCGGUCCCUAUCUGCCGUGGGCGUUUGAGAAUUGAGAGGGGUUGCUCCUAGUACGAGAGGACCGGAGUGGACGAACCGCUGGUGUUCGGGUUGUUAUGCCAAUAGCAUUGCCCGGUAGCUACGUUCGGAACUGAUAACCGCUGAAAGCAUCUAAGCGGGAAGCAGGCUUUGAGAUGAGUUCUCACUGGAGCUUUAAGCUCCCUAAAGGGUCGUUGGAGACUACAACGUUGAUAGGUUGGGUGUGGAAGUGCUGCGAGGCAUUGAGCUAACCAAUACUAAUUACCCGUGAGGCUUA
rnacentral:rRNA from 1 species